rnacentral:tRNA from 1 species
AGUUAAUGAGCUUGAAUAAGCAUAUAUUUUGAAAAUAUAAGAUAAAUUAUAAUUAUUUAUUAACUU